UGGGGAAUUUUGCACAAUGGGGGAAACCCUGAUGCAGCGACGCCGCGUGAUUUAGAAGGCCUUCGGGUUGUAAAAAUCUUUUCUAUGGGAAGAAAAUGACAGUACCAUAGGAAUAAGGACCGGCUAAUUACGUGCCAGCAGCCGCGGUAAUACGUAAGGUCCGAGCGUUGUCCGGAAUCAUUGGGCGUAAAGGGUACGUAGGCGGGUAAGCAAGUUAGAAGUGAAAUCCUAUAGCUCAACUAUAGUAAGCUUUUAAAACUGCUCAUCUUGAGGUAUGGAAGGGAAAGUGGAAUUCCUAGUGUAGCGGUGAAAUGGGCAGAUAUUAGGAGGAAUACCGGUGGCGAAGGCGACUUUCUGGCCAUAACCUGACGCUGAGGUACGAAAGCGUGGGUAGCAAACAGG
rnacentral:rRNA from 1 species